UCGCCUUGGGAGCAGCGGUCGUCCUAUCAGGUUGUUGGCGGGGUAAGAGCCCACCAAGCCGAAGACGGGUAGCGGGUGUGAGAGCACGGCCCGCGACAUCGGGACUGAGACACUGCCCGGACUCCUACGGGAGGCUGCAGUAACGAAUAUUCCGCAAUGGGCGCAAGCCUGACGGAGCAAUGCCGCGUGCAGGAUGAAGCGGCUUCGCCGUGUAAACUGCUGUCAGGGGACAGAAACACUGAUCGUCCCCAGAGGAAGAGACGGCUAACCCUGUGCCAGCAGCCGCGGUAAGACAGGGGUCUCGAGCGUUAAUCGGAAUUACUGGGCUUAAAGGGUGCGUAGGCGGCCGCGCAAGUGUCCCGUGAAAUCCCCCGGCUUAACCGGGGAACUGCGGGGCAAGCUGCGCGGCUCGAGGAAGGUAGAGGCCGGUGGAACGAUAGGUGGAGCGGUGGAAUGCGUAGAGAUCUAUCGGAACGCCAAAGGUGAAGACAGCCGGCUGGGCCUUUCCUGACGCUGAGUGCACGAAAGCGUGGGGAGCAAACCGGAUUAGAU
rnacentral:rRNA from 1 species